rnacentral:rRNA from 1 species
AGUGAACGCUGGCGGUAGGCCUAACACAUGCAAGUCGAACGGCAGCACAGUAAGAGCUUGCUCUUACGGGUGGCGAGUGGCGGACGGGUGAGGAAUACAUCGGAAUCUACUUUUUCGUGGGGGAUAACGUAGGGAAACUUACGCUAAUACCGCAUACGACCUACGGGUGAAAGCAGGGGAUCUUCGGACCUUGCGCGAUUGAAUGAGCCGAUGUCGGAUUAGCUAGUUGGCGGGGUAAAGGCCCACCAAGGCGACGAUCCGUAGCUGGUCUGAGAGGAUGAUCCGCCACCCUGGAACUGAGACACGGUCCAGACUCCUACGGGAGGCAGCAGUGGGGAAUAUUGGACAAUGGGGGCAAGCCUGAUCCAGCAAUACCGCGUGGGUGAAGAAGGCCUACGGGUUGUAAAGCCCUUUUGUUGGGAAAGAAGAGCAGCAGGUUAAUACCCCGCUGUUCUGACGGUACCCAAAGAAUAAGCACCGGCUAACUUCGUG